CAGAACGCGGCGCAACCUCAGUGCAACUCGCAGCACGACUCCGGGAUCCGAGCAAAACCUCGAGGGUUUUCCAUCUGCACGACAUUCACGUCCCGGAGGCCAAAAAGCGUGCGGAAUGCCUCACCCCCCCCCCCCGCAGAGCAUUGCUCUCAUAUCACUGCCUCCUAAACGGCUUGUGAAGAAACACACGGGUCCUUGUGUGUCACAGAUGGGCUGACACGUCGGUUUGCAGACGAGAGGAUCUUCUGACACUGUGUGAUGCACAGGCGAAGGCACCGAGCUCUCUGUGCUUCUGCCCUUGCUCGGUGUGCGAUGGAAGGCAGUAAUCAAAGCCUUAUAUUCAAGAGAGCAGCCGAGAGAUGGAGCGAAAGGGGAAAAUGUGAUUCUGAAGCAAAGCCGGGCCGGUUUCAGAGUUGGGGGAGAGCGGCUGUGGAGAGGAAGGGGCGCACGUGAUGUGCCUGUUGACGAGAGGACGUCUCAGGGGAGGGGAGGGGAGCCUCUGCGUUGGACGGGCCAGAGACCCAUCGGGAUCCAGGAAGGCGGACAUUUCACAAUCCUUCCAUUCCAGAAACCUUUUGCGUUUUUUUGGAAAGGAAAAUGCCUUAAAUGACAGAAACCGGCCCCCACAAAUACACAAAAGCCUUUAGCUGCAUGAACAACCAUCACACCACAUCCUCUUCAUCAAUGUUUCUUUAGCCCCCGGAAGCUCUUCUGGACGAGUCUACUUCUUUUUACGGCACCAGAAGCAGCAGCAUUGUUUGUCUGGAAGAAAUAGCAGAGGCACCAGGGACGUUUCAACUAACAAUAGUUAUUCCCGUCCCUUUAAAGGCUUUAUGGCUCAUAGCUGACAUUGAGUGUGCGUUGCUAUCGCUGGAUGGCGUUGGACGAGCGACAUUUUGAAACGGCUCGGUGUCGAGGCCUCUUCAGACUCUGCAGAUAAGAGAGGGACAUGCGAGAGGACGAUGACAGACACCUCGCUCCCGGCGGCGCGCGCUGAGACAACUAAAAUGGACGGAGCGCACAGGUUGAGGACAAAGACAAAAUGGAGCCGAUUAGGACGGGAGGACUAUUCAGAAAAAGAGCAUAUUUGACCAAUAACAUACAUCAGUUCCUACAGAUUUAACUAUUUAGUGUCAAAGGACGCAUCUGAGAGUCCAAAAUGAGACAAACGUUCCUUCAAUGCAGCUACUUGUCUCUUCUCUUUCCCUAUUAGGCUGGAGACAUGAAGCGUGCUUACACCAGCUGAAGGACAGCACUUGAACGCAUAUCACAGACCCCGAAAGUCUCCAUCCAAGUGUUUCGUCUUUGUCAGCCGACACUCGUGUGACCCCGGACAGUUUGAGUUUUAAAGCUGGGACCUUUUGGGAGGAAAGAAGGACGGAUUGAAGCUUCCAGGAGCGAAAGGUCUGAUUAACCAAACAACACCCACACGUUUCAGCUGCGCACUGACUGACAGCAGCGAAACAUAACGCUCUGUAAUACACGUUCAGAUUAAGGGGGAAUCGUCGAGUGACAGGCGGGUUCACAAGGAUUUGUCUUUAAUUUGGGUGCUGUCCUCCGUCCGCUCCGUCAGCUGUGAGGUUUCUACACGCUGGGGAAACGGUGCAUUGUGGGAACAUUCUGAUGCACAGUAAAGUGCAUUUAAAGUGAAAGCAGGUUUUGGUUUAGUGUCUCAUUACUGUCGUCAUCUCCUUCCGUCAGACACGGAAUUGAAUGUGGACUAAGCAACUGAGACCUUUUGUCUUAUUAACCUUCAACGUGACUAUCAAUUAAUUCAAACUGUUACUCCAGAUUCAUCUUUAACCUGCAGCAGACGGUUAUACGGUGCAUUCAUUUUUAUUCUCUACAUUACAGCUGACAUCCAUUCAAAAUGAGGUCCGUUUGGCUGCGGGAGGUCGUAAGAAGGUCAAAUAAACAGCUCAUUCAAAGCAUCAGACCUGUGCUGCAGCCUUGUGCUGCACUUGUUUCAGUAAAUGUUUCCCCUCAUCGAGCGGCACUCGUGUCGCGCUCACACAGAUCUCAUCACAGGGGGAGAAACUAAAGGUGAUGAAGAGCAGAAACUUUUCUGUCCCUUUUUAAUACAUUUGGAAGUAAUUCCUGCUUUCACUUUCACUUGAUGUUUCACAUUCAAUGUGACCUUUAAAAUACAUUUUAGCACCUUGUUAAAUAUUGUAACAUAUUCUCUCCCCGUACAGUUGUGAUAAACGUGGAUGUUAGUAAUGGAGAACGAAUGUUUUCGUACCAGUCUGUCCUCGCCAGUAGGAUGAAUAAUUAUCCACAUUCCAUAUGGAAUUUUGCGAAAGAGGCUUUUUCAGUGUCAGAUAUUGUUAAUCCGUGUGAACAAUGUGUGAAACAAGAAGUGAAAUUCUCCAUUAAAUUAAAUUCCCCUUUAAAGUCCCUUUGCCAAAAGCGUCAGACGAUGGAUGGUUAUUCAUGUCGUAGCAAGAAGUGAUGAGGAAAUGUUGCUUCUUGCUUCAAACAUUUCCCUCAAAGAGGCGACGUUCCCGGGACAAUUGUCUGUUGUGCAGAAAUAUAAAAGUGUUGUUUCUGUGCGACCUUUAAUCGUGUUUAUGUCACGCAUUAGUUCAACCAUGGUAAACAUUCUCGAUAGCAUCGCACGUCUAAUCCAACAGUACUUUUUGAAUUGACCUCAUCAAUGAUGUUGUUCAGCAGCCUGCAGGUAUCAACCAUCCGUCCAUUUGUAAUGGAAGUGAACGCGCAACAAUAAGAGACUCGUCGAUGUUGUGUCUCAGUUGUGUUCUCGGAGGGAAAACUAAGUAAUGAACUGUGCGAGAAACCAUCUGUGUUCCGUUUUCCAUUAGGCACAUCUCUGCUGUUAAAGAUGUCUACAAUGCAUUUGUAUGCGGGUGAAUCGCAAUGUAACAUAUUGAUUUGUGGACUCUCAAGAUCGGAAGUUGAGUACGGUUGACGGUUAGAAGUCAUUUUCCAACAAUGAAUUACAUCAAACAGUCUCCUCUGUGGAGUGUCUGCAUCAUUAAACACAGAUUCAAAUAACUCAAAUAAUUUAAACAAACUGCAUUUCCUCUAAAGACCUCGUUGUCCAGGAAAAAAGUAGUAUUUCAAAAUAAAAGCAUUUUAUUAAUUACAUUAUUAUUAUUACAGAAAAUAAGGAAAAUGCUGUACUUGAAUGACACCAAUUGAGUAAUUCACUUUGACUGAUUUCCAUAUUGCUAAUAAUAAUUAGAUGUUUAGAAAUGUUUUACAAUGUUCUAUGUGAUCUAUGAAAUCUUGAAUGUAGAUGUGUAUGAGAUUUAUUGGCGUAAAAAAAGGUCAUUUCAAUGAAACGUACAUUGUCAAAUCAACCAUUGAACAUUAGAUGAAAAAAGACCUUUAAUUAUGAAACAUACAGUACAUAAUGUAUUUCAUUUUAGCAUCAGUAAGUGACAGCACCGUUUUUCAUCUUGCAGAGUGACCCAAUUGCUUAAAUUGAGUUCACUCCAACUUUCUAACCGCACGCGAUCAGAAGCAGUUAACGUCUCGUUUUAGAUCCGAACUCACCAAUUGAUUCCUCCGCUAGCUGCUCGGCAGACAUGCUGGAAGGUUGAGAACAAACCUCGCUAUCUUCACCGCGGCGCCGCAGAGCGAUCGCAGCUGUGUGUGUGUGCUUUGAGCUCGGGAAAAGGCUAACGCGAGUUCUUCAACAUGGAGGACUCGUUCCGAACAGCAGGCCGCUCCGCACGCACCCGACCUCGGAUCGAUCACACCACCUCCCAAAUUGAAAAACUCAUUAAAUCCGGCGUCCUCGUCGGCCGUGUCUUGGAUCCCCUCCUCCCUCAUCGGGUUCGGGCGUAGCUCACUCCAUCACCUUCCCACGGAGUCCUCCACAUUACCCCCGAGCAGCUGUUUGGGAAAAUCUAAUUAUGCAUGGAGAUGAAAUUCAAAUUCAGGGGGCCUCCGUCAGCGUAGCUCAUGAUUUAUUGAACCUCGGGACGAGACGUUAAUAUAGACUCCAUUCACGACGGGCUCCUGUUCUGAUGUCUUCGUUAUCUCCCCAUCAGUUUGCGGGGGGUUGAUCUCGUGUCGGGGGCCACACAGCGGGGCUCGCGUGUCCGGAGUUCCCUCGUUAUGAAUAACCUUUCCAAAGGUUGCACCGUUUCAUUUGACAUUUCAAAAACGGCCCAAUUACAUUGAGUGACCUCUUUCUUUGACGUGACACGAGAACCCGGAGGAGGAGAAACACUUUGCUUUUCAAAGCACCGUGCGCUUUGAAGGUAUUUUUGGCGAUUCAUGUUCUUAAAUGAUGACACACUGCAGUUCAAGGAUUUACGAAAUGUGUGUUUUUUUCUCACAAUCCUCACUUUGCAACUGUCCUUCAUCCCUGUAACAAAGCCAGCUUUUAAUUGCAUCGUUUGAAUUGAUAGCUUUUUAGAUCAGCUUGUGUGCAACCCAGUUAGGAAAAAAGAAAAUAAACUCUGCUGCUUCAUAAAAUGAUAUGUGACACAAACGAAUCCUUGACAGCUUCAGAGAAACAUGACAUGAUCGCCUCGACUUAAAGCUCUACUUAUCAAUCUAUCAAUAUUCUUUAAAGAAAACAGUGGAUACACUAAGCACACUAAGGUGGUGGGGACCAAAACAGAGCACGCAACGAGUGAACAUUGGACUUGUUGCUCAGAUGGUUAGAAAUAUAACGUUAACUCCAACAAACCGCUAAUGGCUGCUAAUGCUAAGCUACUGCUUGAAGCUUCAUGUGUCCAAACCUUUCAGACAGUUUUC
ensembl:lncRNA